AUCCAGCUGACGAGUCCCAAAUGGGACGAAACUCGUGUCAAACUGGAU
rfam:Schistosoma mansoni, Puerto Rico, WGS project CABG01000000 data, contig: 0113